ensembl:lncRNA
AUCUAAGAGGACAUUUCACACCCUACAACCCCUAAAAAUAAACCAGAUUUGACAUCACUGGACACCCAUCUGAGACCUACCUGUUUUACUUCAUGUUUACUCCAGAUACUCCUACAGUUAACCUGCAUUUUGUCUUAUGUUGAUGCAGUCUGGACACUAGUAUCUGUUGGGUUGCUGACUAUCAUUGAAGAUGAAGUACUUCUCCAAAUCUUCUCUGCCUUGACCCUGUGUCUUCUGCUAUCAUUGUUCAGGGUAGUACUGCAAAGAUCAGUUUACAGGAUCUACCUCAGCCAUUGCUUCCAGACUGCCAUGUGCUACGUUUGGAUUACUGCUACAUUUGGAUUUACCCUAAUACUGUGAAGAACACUGACAGUGUGAUGCUUGACUUGGUACAGAAAAAAAUCCAUUGGCAAUUGGUGCAGGCAACUCAGUGCCAGACUUAAACUCAUCGUACUGCGACCUCCUCUGUUUACAAGAAGCAUACUAUAAAUCAGAUUGUUUCUGUUUUUUUCAAAAUGUUUGGAUUACAAGUUAAAACUGCAUUGAGAAACAAAAAAAUACAUUACCUUUACCUUUGAACUGUCACUACCCUAAAUUUAUGUGUGUGAUGAAUAGAACAUUGUUUUCAUUAAUUUGUAAUGGAUGUUUGAUGCACUUUUGUUACUGAGGUAAUGCUUAAACUUUUUUUUUUAAGUCAAUCUGUUUGCAAGCAACUAGAUUGAUGUUCAAGUAAAUAAGACUAAGGAAUUCCAAGUUGCAGGAAAUGUUAACAUGAGUCAGCUCAACUUAAAAGAGUUGUUUUGAAAUACACACAUAGUACAUUGUACUUAAUUAUUAAGUUGUUGAAAAUAGUGAUUCUGAGAAACCAGAACUUCCGUGUAAGUUUACUAAAUAAACCUUUGUUAGUACAAAUCA